UAAUACAGAGGGUGCGAGCGUUAAUCGGAAUUACUGGGCGUAAAGCGAGUGUAGGUGGCUCAUUAAGUCACAUGUGAAAUCCCCGGGCUUAACCUGGGAACUGCAUGUGAUACUGGUGGUGCUAGAAUAUGUGAGAGGGAAGUAGAAUUCCAGGUGUAGCGGUGAAAUGCGUAGAGAUCUGGAGGAAUACCGAUGGCGAAGGCAGCUUCCUGGCAUAAUAUUGACACUGAGAUUCGAAAGCGUGGGUAGCAAACAGGAUUAGAUACCCUGGUAGUCCACGCCGUAAACGAUGUCUACUAGCCGUUGGGGUCCUUGAGACUUUAGUGGCGCAGUUAACGCGAUAAGUAGACCGCCUGGGGAGUACGGCCGCAAGGUUAAA
rnacentral:rRNA from 1 species